GACCCAAAGACGAAAACACCGUAACGUUGGUCGAAGAAAACAUAUUUGUGGGAUCGGUGGAGUAAAUUAUACAUUUGUGGUUGGAGACUUAAGUUGUUUAAAGUCUAAGUAAUAUUCAGAAGCACAGACAGGAAACAAUGUCAAGAUAUCAGAGGGUGUCUGAGCCGCCGGCGGCGGCGGCCGCCGAGCCCAGCGUGCCGGCGCCGCCGACA